CCAGUCUUAGCUGAGUUUUGAUGAGGCAGAUGAUGAUACUCGAAAAAUAUGGUGGACAGAAUGGAGGAAUCAAUCGCUUGGAAGACCAUCGCAUAUGGAUGAGUUUUUUGAGCACACCCAUACUCGCAAAGAGGAUAGGACUCAAUGGGUUGAUGAACACUCCCGAAUGGCAAAG